UUUGUGUACACAGCUCCGAGAAAGCUGGACCCCCACUCCCUCCCCAGUCGUCCCUCAGUCAGAGGCAUAGCUUCUUUUGUCUCAGGGAAAUUACCACUGCGACGGUGGGCUCAUCCAAAUGGCAGCUGCACGGAAGUCCAAGGUCAAGGUAAACCCAACGAGGAAUACACCUCCAAAUGUACGAAGGAGCAGAUGGGCCAGUUUAUUAA